UAAGAACAUCAAUAGUGAUACAUUAAAAAAAAAUAGCCCCCUAUUUUCAAAAUAUGUGCAAACAGUCCUCAACAUUCACCCCUGCAAAUUUCUCUCCCUCUCCUCUUUCAGAAAACAAGCAAUCCAAGAUGUAUUAAACAGCAAUUCCUCCAUACAUACUUCCACAUCUAUCAUGCUGCACAAGAAAAGCCAGAUCAAAAAGGGAAAAAAUGAGAAAGAAAUUAAAGGCAAGCGAACAACAACAAAAAGAAAAUCUGGAAAGAAGAAAUCUAUACCUGUCACUUUGAAAUGGAAAACUAUUCAG